rnacentral:rRNA from 1 species
UACAGAGGUCCCAAGCGUUGUUCGGAUUCAUUGGGCGUAAAGGGUGUGUAGGUGGCGCCGUAAGUCGGGUGUGAAAUUUCGGAGCUUAACUCCGAAACUGCAUUCGAUACUGCGGUGCUUGAGGACUGGAGAGGAGACUGGAAUUCAUGGUGUAGCAGUGAAAUGCGUAGAGAUCAUGAGGAAGACCAGUGGCGAAGGCGGGUCUCUGGACAGUUCCUGACACUGAGACGCGAAGGCCAGGGGAGCAAACGGG